rnacentral:misc_RNA from 1 species
CACAUCUCUCUCUCUCUCUCUCUCCCAAUUCCCGCCAAGUGCAAUAUACUGCAACAACAAGGUCUUCUCCCGAGAACGGGAACUUGCAGCCAAAGCCAAAUGACAUCGUAUCAAAAUCAAACUUGAAAAAUACGUAAAGCUUGUUAUACAACUACUUGAAAUAAAUAUUAGACAUGUAUGAAAAUUCAAAAUUGCAAGGGCUCUAUGAGGUUAUUUGUAAGCAAUUUGAAGUUGAAAAUUCCAGGUAGCCAGAGUUGAUUUCUCAGAACCGUCUGCAGGACCCUAUACCCAAUAAUGAUUGAUGUCAUGUAAAAAAUGAAAAUGGUGAUUUCAGGCAUGUGGAAUUCAAGUUUCAUCUUCACUGCCUGAAAGUAGGCAAUCUUGUAUUUGCUGCCUGCAGGCAGAAAAUCCUGUUUAGAAGCGUCAAGUUCUGAAGAGGCAUAAAAAAAAUUAUUUCCCUGGAGCAGAAAAUUAACUAAAAUCAAGCACAAACAUUUUUUUCUUGCAUGUGGACCUCCAGAUUCCAGAGUUGCAGCAUGCCAAAGCUGUCUCUCAGCCUUGGACUGAUGUGUCCAACAUAGAAGCUUCUUAGUAUCCAAUAAAGCAGUAAUUUCUUACCUUAGCAAACUAAAAUUGUCACAGCUGCCAUUCUUUACCCGGGCAACCAAAUGUUGGGGUAAGGACAAAUAGAAAUGUUCGAUUGAUGAGGUGUCCUUGGGGAGUAUCUGAAAACAGCAACUUGAACAACAAAACCUUUUAUUUUGUAUUUAUCAAAGAAGCAGGUACCGGGCAGUAUCAGCUUUAACAAAACAAAUGAUACUAGUGCCCUUCAAGUAAAGCGCUUAUUGUCUAAUUAAGCUCUACCAGUCACUAGAAUUUAGCUCUCUCCAAUGGCCAUAAGACACUGUGUAAGAAACAUUCAAAUUAUGAGAAGAAUAAAACUUUGUACCUGCAAAAGGGUCACAAAUGAAG